AAGUGUUUUCUGCUGCUGGUGAACUAUAGAAGCCGUAACUUAUUCCGUUUAAAUCUUAUAUUUUCACGCAAAUUUGCGAAUUUGAAAUGGAACCUAUUGAAAGAAAAUUAAAUUUGCAUUCCGCUGAGACCAAGCAACCUGACUCCCAGACGAUUAGCCUCACUUUGGGAGAUAUUCUGGACUACAUAGGAGAUUCAAUCAGACCACUUCGGGAAGGGCAGUCGGUCUUCGAAUCAGGACAUAUUGUAUUCAUUGGCUACACAAAUUCGAAGGGAGUGUAUUUGGACGUUGUUGGCUUUGUACUUCAAAGUUCCCACCCGGGGGAUGUUCCUCAUGAGGUAAAACUUCAGAUCUGUCCCGAUUAUCGGCAAUGGAUACUGAGCUGCACAUGUAAAGCGGGAACUGCAAGAUGUAAGCACAUCAUUGCUUGCUUGCUGCAUAUUUCAAAAGCUGGGUAUGUCGAAUUCUUAACUUGCACCAGCUCUCGUCAAGCAUGGGGAAUUAGUAAAGCGGAAAAAACUAGUCUAUGGAAAGCGAAGCGCGUUAAGGAACUUUGUUGCGUUCGAAAACAUGCUGUUUUCC